rnacentral:rRNA from 1 species
GAUGAACGCUAGCUACAGGCUUAACACAUGCAAGUCGAGGGGCAGCAGGGAGAUAGCUUGCUAUCUUUGCUGGCGACCGGCGCACGGGUGAGUAACGCGUAUCCAACCUUCCCCUUACUAGAGGAUAGCCCGGCGAAAGUCGGAUUAAUGCCGGAUGUCGUGCGAUGAUGGCAUCAGAGUUGCACGAAAGGCUUGCCGCCUCGGGAUGGGGAUGCGUCUGAUUAGGCAGCAGGCGGGGUGACGGCCCACCUGGCCUUCGAUCAGUAGGGGUUCUGAGAGGAAGGUCCCCCACACUGGAACUGAGACACGGUCCAGACUCC